rnacentral:rRNA from 1 species
CCUACGGGUGGCAGCAGUGGGGAAUAUUGGACAAUGGGCGAAAGCCUGAUCCAGCCAUGCCGCGUGUGUGAAGAAGGCCUUCGGGUUGUAAAGCACUUUCAGUGGGGAAGAAAGCCUUGGGGCUAAUACCCUCGAGGAAGGACAUCACCCACAGAAGAAGCACCGGCUAACUCCGUGCCAGCAGCCGCGGUAAUACGGAGGGUGCGAGCGUCAAUCGGAAUUACUGGGCGUAAAGCGCGCGUAGGCGGUCUGAUAAGCCGGUUGUGAAAGCCCCGGGCUCAACCUGGGAACGGCAUCCGGAACUGUCAGGCUAGAGUGCAGGAGAGGAAGGGAGAAUUCCCGGUGUAGCGGUGAAAUGCGUAGAGAUCGGGAGGAAUACCAGUGGCGAAGGCGGCCUUCUGGACUGACACUGACGCUGAGGUGCGAAAGCGUGGGUAGCAAACAGGAUUAGAUACCCCUGUAGUC